UACGUAGGGGCAAGCGUUGUCCGGAAUCAUUGGGCGUAAAGCGCGUGUAGGCGGCUCGAUAAGUCCGUUCUGAAAGUCCAGGGCUCAACCCUGGGAUGCGGAUGGAUACUGUCGAGCUCGAGUCCGGAAGAGGCGAGUGGAAUUCCGUGGUGUAGCGGUGAAAUGCGCAGAUAUCAGGAGGAACACCAAUGGCGAAGGCAGCUCGCUGGGACGUGACUGACGCUGAGACGCGAAAGCGUGGGGAGCAAACAGG
rnacentral:rRNA from 1 species